AGGGUUUGAUUAUGGCUCAGGAUGAACGCUGGCGGCGUGCUUAACACAUGCAAGUCGAACGGGGUACCCUUGAUGGAGGCUUCGGCCAACAGAGAGGACUACCUAGUGGCGGACGGGUGAGUAACGCGUGAGGAACCUGCCUUGGAGUGGGGAAUAACAGCCCGAAAGGGUUGCUAAUACCGCAUAAAGCAAUAUGAUCGCAUGAUUGAAUUGCCAAAGAUUUAUCGCUCUGAGAUGGCCUCGCGUCUGAUUAGCUAGUUGGCGGGGUAACGGCCCACCAAGGCGACGAUCAGUAGCCGGACUGAGAGGUUGACCGGCCACAUUGGGACUGAGACACGGCCCAG
rnacentral:rRNA from 1 species